GCAACAGUCUUUGGUAUUCCAAUUCAAAAGAUUAAUUUGACACAUUUCCCUCAUAGGCAAAUGGCCAAUUCCUCAACCACUUUAUGCAUGUUUCUCCUCCUCAUUGUUGCAUCAGGUUCAAUGGUGCUAGCGAGCAAUGACGCAAUCCCAAAUGAGAAGUGCAUGACUGGUUUGGGCCUCUGUGGCAAGCUUUGCGACACACAAUGUUGUGAACAGAAUUGUUAUGACAACUUUAAGUCACAAAAUCCAUAUGCAAUUUGCGAGUUAAUUCCUGGAUAUCGUUUAUGUAAUUGUUACCAUGAUUGUUAAUUAGGGAUAUGAAAUAUGAUAAACCAAAUUAUAUCGCUUAUAUUUAAUUAUUAUUGUUGAUCUAGA